rnacentral:lncRNA from 1 species
UGUGUCCUCAGUACACGAAUGCCCCACUCGCACUAUCAUUUUCUAUGUUCAGUGGACCGUGAAAUUCGGGUAAAAUCUCUAAUUUGGCAUUAAAAUUAAAAAGAUCAUAUCAUAGGGAACAUGUGUACCAAGUUUGAAGUCAAUUGGACUUCAACUUCAUCAAAAACUACCUUGACCAAAAACUUUAACCUGAAGCGGGACAGACGGACGAACAGACAGACAGACGGACGGACGGACGGACGGACGGACGGACGAACGGACGCACAGACCAGAACACAUAAUGCCCCUCUACUAUCGUAGGUGGGGCAUAAAAAUCAAA